AGGCAGAGGGAGGCCCACAGGGACCCUGGGAACCCAGGUGUUGCCCAGGGCCCAGAGGUCAGCUGGGACCUGCCCUUCCGCAUCAGAUGCUUGUGCUUCAAUAGCCAGCCAGGACCAGGGACUGCACCUGUGCACGAAUUUCAUGCACUGGGCCUCUAGUUGAAAAUAAAGC